AGAGUUGAACGCUACAGCAAUGGAUUUUUUUUUCUCAUGUAAAGGUUUUUGAAUAAAUUCUGCUUCAUAAGAAUAUAAAAACAGGUAAGCUAACAAAAGAGCACAAUUCGUAAGCAUGGGAAUUCCAACAGACUGUUGGGAAACCUAAUCACCAAAGACUACAAAGAUAUUGUCACUGAGGAAUUCCAGUAUAAGUUUUAUUUCAACUUCAGAGUACUUGUGCAUGGAAUCAGAGUGGUGUUUAACAAAGUAAUUGUUUAAGAAUACGAAUAUUUCCUUUAUCACAAUUAAUGUAUAUAUUUUCCGAUUAUAGCCCCAUAGAUGUUAGGGUCUUUAUCCUUUUCAGAAGUAAAAAAUCUCAAUGUGUUUUUAUAGUAUGCGAAUAAUUCACCAGGUAUUUUUGUACAUUUAAAUCCUGUGCAGUUAGUUUGUGUGUAACAAUUACCGGGUGCGGACUUGUUUAUUCACAUUGAUGUUUAUGUAUUUCAUCUAAUAAUAGUCAUCAAGUUUUAAUACCUUGUGGCCAGAGUUCACUACUUCUGAGAUCCCUUCUUCAUUUGACUCCUUUUCGAAGUACAGAAAACGAUGAUGAACAUUUGUGUAUAUAGCUCGAAUGUAUUAAAACAGUAUAAACCAUAAAACUCGUUUUUCUAUUUUAAUGCCUGGCGACCAUCCUGCGACAUUCUUUUUCCAUUUUUGUUGAACUGUCUAUGAUGUCAAAAAGUCUAGUCUUUAAUUACGAGGAAUGGUCGUGUAAAGUGUUGAAAAGUCAUACGUUUUGAUGAUGAUUUGAGAAUUGUUUUGUACAAUUUCAAAUUUAUUAAAGUUCUUUAGAAUUAUUUAGAAUCCACGUUUGAUUUACACCACUUUUGACAUAUGUUGUGACACAGUACGUUUAAAAAUUAUCCAUCACAGUUGUUAAUAUUUUGUCAAGGAGCAAAGAUGGGUUUGGUAGAUCAUUUACACGAUCUUGCAAUGUAUCUUUUUUUGUAAGGGUUUUUGUGUAGUUUAGGAAUCCAGCAUAGGUACAGUAACUCGUAAUUAUUCAUUCGUCCCAAAUAUUUGAAUUUGUGUAAAAGUGAAGCAUGGUUUUGAAGUAUUUCAUUUUUAAAAAGAGCAGUUUGAGUAUAAGUACGAUUAAAAGUUUACAGGAUAUCUUGAGAUGGAGCACAUGAGGUUGGAAAAAGAAUCUACAAAGAUUUAUCUUAAAAAAAAAACAUGACAUCUUUUAGCUGGUUAUGUGAAUUUUCAUUUCUGUACCAAAGCUGAUUAUUUGACGUCUGUACAUAUGACAUUUUUUAUAUAUCGAAGAAUAAUCCAAAAGUACAUUAACAAUUGUGUAAGAGCCUGAGCUACAAUACCUAUACUGAAUUCCAAAAUUUCGCAAAAGCCCUAGCAAUGCACGAAAAACAAUGUCGUUUUAAGAAACGAUUUUGCGCGAUUAAGCACUCGGUGUGGUGAAAGAUGGCGUCAGGCAGUAGUGGGUAGGUGGACGAUUUAACGUUCACCUUUGAACGAUAAGUCAAUGAAGUCGACACCAUCACCUACAGGGGUUAUAAAUGAUCUCCCAGACUUGAUCAACCAUUUGUAGUAACACGAAAUCAACAGACGUUCAUACUGCAGCACCACUUGUGGAAUAUGUUUACGGUUGCAGAGACGACAGUGAGGCAAGGAAUGCGGUCAUGAUAGGGCAAGUCACAGUAAAGCAGUCUCUCGAAUAUUGAAACGUCAUGAGUUAGUUGAUUGUGUAUUGUUUAACACCCC